rnacentral:rRNA from 1 species
AUGGCCGCCGCAGCUGCCGCCGACGACGCGGUCGCCGCCGACAUCAUCUGCUCGCUGCGCGGGGCCGACCUGGCCGGGUGGACGCCGCCGUGGAGCAAGCGCGCGAGGCCGAUGGAGGGUGAGCUGUCCUGGCCGGCCGUGGCGCGCGGGAAGCGCUCGCGCCGCCGCUCUCCGGCGUCGUCGUCGGCGACGGCGGCGGGGAAGGCGAGGUGCGCCCGGUCCAGCCCGGCGUCGCCGCUGGACUACAGCGCCGGCUCCGCCUCCCUCCGUUCCGGCGCGUCCACCAGCGGCGGCGAGGACGGCGCCUUCUGCUCGCCGUGGCACCGCCGCGCGGCCACCGCGCCGGCGACUACGACGAAGGCGACGAAGGUGGGCUCCAUCCGACGGCCGCAGUUGACCUUCCAGGCCCCGCCUCCACGGCCCGCAGGUCAGAGGCAACGGAAGAAAAUGAGGCUGCCGGAGGUCCAGCAGCUGGUGCGGUCGCUCGCCGUGGAGAACGAGAGCCUACACGAGGAGAUGCGGGAACUGCAGAGGGCUUGCUCCGCGCUGUCGAAAGAAAAUGACAAGCUUGAGAUAAGAAUAGAGCAAUCCAACUCACGGAAUGAAGCCACAUUGAAGGAGCAGAAGGGAAAGCAGCAGCUUGAUCAGCAGCAGCAGCAGUCCCCACAUGACAGCUUCGCGCUACCAGAUCUCAACCUUCCUGCGCAGGACGGUGCUGAUGGGUCAGUCCCUUGUUGA